GGGGGCGAAACGGUCUCGACGGGAUGGCUUCAGGGUCGAGGCUGCGUGCCGGGGGUUCCUGUCCCCCCGUAAAACGGCUGGAAAACAAACUGCCAACUCUGAGAUGGCACUCGCCGCGUAAACAGCGGUGACGUUUCGGCGUUCCUGGGCCUGUAGGGGGCGUUCGAGGCGUAAUAUUCAACAGGCUGGCUCUGAACCCAUGCCCGGCGGGGUGACGAGCGAGAAAAUUGACGGGCUAGCGGUGACGAAUCCUGCCUCCGGGAGUCAGAGCCGCGAAACUCAAAUCGGAUGGCUACGCACGUAGACGCUUCGGGUCGACCAUUUCGGACGCGGGUUCGACUCCCGCCGCCUCC
rnacentral:tmRNA from 1 species